UGGGGAAUAUUGGACAAUGGGCGGAAGCCUGAUCCAGCCAUGCCGCGUGUGUGAAGAAGGCCUUUUGGUUGUAAAGCACUUUAAGCGAGGAGGAGGCUACUAGUAUUAAUACUACUGGAUAGUGGACGUUACUCGCAGAAUAAGCACCGGCUAACUCUGUG
rnacentral:rRNA from 1 species